rnacentral:rRNA from 1 species
CAGUCGCCACGGUAAUACGUAGGUGGCAAGCGUUGUCCGGAAUUAUUGGGCGUAAAGCGCGCGCAGGCGGCCUAUCCAGUCUGUCUUAAAAGUUCGGGGCUCAACCCCGUGAUGGGAUGGAAACUAGUAGGCUAGAGUAUCGGAGAGGAAAGCGGAAUUCCUAGUGUAGCGGUGAAAUGCGUAGAUAUUAGGAAGAACACCAGUGGCGAAGGCGGCUUUCUGGACGAAAACUGACGCUGAGGCGCGAAAGCUAGGGGAGCGAACGGGAUUAGAUACCCGUGUAGUCCCUGUCUCUUAUACC